UAGGGAAUAUUGCACAAUGGGCGAAAGCCUGAUGCAGCAACGCCGCGUGCGCGAUGACGACCUUCGGGUUGUAAAGCGCUUUUCGGGGAGAUGAGGAAGGACAGUAUCCCCGGAAUAAGCCUCGGCUAACUACGUGCAAGCAGCCGCGGUAAAACGUAGGAGCCAAGCGUUAUCCGAAUUCACUGGGCGUAAAGCGCGUGUAGGCGGCUUGGUAAGUUGGAUGUGAAAGCUCCUGGCUCAACUGGGAGAGGACGUUCAAUACUGCCGGGCUAGAGGGCGACAGAGGGAGGUGGAAUUCCCGGUGUAGUGGUGAAAUGCGUAGAUAUCGGGAGGAACACCAGUGGCGAAAGCGGCCUCCUGGGUCGCACCUGACGCUCAGACGCGAAAGCUAGGGGAGCGAACGG
rnacentral:rRNA from 1 species